rnacentral:rRNA from 1 species
UACGAGUGGUGCAAGCGUUAUUCGGAAUCAUUGGGCGUAAAGGGUGUGUAGACGGUAUGCUAAGUCAGUUGUUUAAUUCUCCGGCCUAACCGGAGGCCAGCAGCAGAAACUGGUAUGCUAGAGGGUGGAAGAGAGGAGUGGAAUUCUCGGAGUAGCGGUAAAAUGCGUAGAUCUCGAGAGGAACACCAAUGGCGAAGGCAGCUUCUUGGUCCAUACCUGACGUUUGAGACACGAAAGCGUGGGGGAGCAAACAGG